GUUGGGGCCGGCACGUGACUCGGACAAUAGGGUGAAUAAGAGGAUGUGCGGAGUGCGUCAAGGGAGGGGGCGAGGUUGUGUUCUGAAGAAUUAAUUAUUCAUUUAUCGGCCUACAUUCUCAAAGAGAAAACAACUACAACAGCAACUUUAUGAAAAAAUAAUAUGCAGCGACCUGUCCCCUCGUCCAUAUUUUAAGUGCGCAAAACAAAUCACACGGAAAGACAUCGGUGCAGAGAUGGCGUGGUGUUGAAAUUCUGUCUUGGACUGCUCGGAAUUAAAUAAAUCCACCUCAAGUGAACCAUGUCCGAAAUAAGAACGGAGAGUGCUGGUCACUUCACCUGGAAAGAUAAGGCAGAGUUCACUCCAAUCGCCACAGUCCAAACAUGGACCAAAGAGCUGAAUGCGAGAGGUGGAGUGACAGUGAUGCUUUUGUUACCAAGGCAGCAUUUGACUGAAUAAGUCAAUAAAGAGACCUGGUAAAAGUGAAGUUAAUUCCAUUAUUCUUAGCUCCUCAACAACCGAAGGAGCUUAUGCCUGCAUGCAACAAUAUCUCCUCAACAUUUAGGCAUAGGCUGAUAUUUGUGUUACAAUACACCAGACAAUGAAAAUCUUCAAUAAGAGGGAGUCUAACUAGAAACUCUUGAUGUUAUCUUUGCCAAGUUCUCCACCAUUUAUAUACUGGAGGUCAAUGUAAAUCGGAAACUAAUUUGGACCAACAACAUAAAUACUGUGGCUACUGGUGUUGGUGAGAGACUGGGUAUCCUGUGGAAAGUGACACACCACCUGAUAUCCCAAGACCUUUUUACUAUCUGCAAAGCAGAAGUCAAGAGCAUGAUAGAACUCUGCACGUGUAUAGUAGAGUGCAGCACCAUAAAUUCUCAUGAGGCUAGAUGCCAUUCAGAGUAAAAUUACCCACUUGUUCAGAACUCCAAAAAUCAUCCUGACCCAUCAGCAUGCGAUGGCCGCCAUGUAUACUGUCUGUUAAAUGCACUACAAUUGCUUAUUAGAAAUGCAAAAGUCAUAAAUUUUAGUUUCUGUAUCAAACUCCAUUCCUUAGUCAACAAUGUCAUCCUUCUCCUUGUCCGAAAUUGAAUCACAUAUUUACAACUGCAAUGUUAUAUUUGACAUCCUAUAAAUGCUCAAUCACAUGAGACAAUUCCACCUCUGUGGUAUUUAGAAUUCUACCCUUGCCUCAGCACUAUGGCUGCUUUAAAUCCCUGAGACUUCCAAGGCAUGAUGGCAGGAUCAUCUCAUUCUAUUUUUCAUUAACUUGAGGUCUGAUUUUCAUAUUCUUGCAUAGACUUGCCCCGCCACUAUCUUGAAAUUCCUUCCUUCUCUAAAGACCCCUGAGGCAUCUUUUCUCUUAUUCUGGCCUCUUCAUCAUCUGACUUUAAGUGCUCCUGUGUUGACGAUGUUUCCUUUUUUUGUCAAUCCUUAAUUCUGGAAUUCUCUUUCCAAAUCUCUCUGCCUCCAUGUAUUUUUUGAUCCUCUAAAACAUUCCUAAAUACCAACUUCGUAAUGCAAGCUUUCAUUCAUCUGCAUUACCUAACGUUUUUUAAUCUUGCUCCUGUGAUGCAUGUUGAAUGUUAUAUUUGAUAUAUGUCUCUACAUUAAAGGCAAAAUAUAUUAA